GACGGAGGGUGCAAGCGUUGCUCGGAAUCACUGGGCGUAAAGGGUGCGUAGGCGGUCUCGCAAGUCUGGCGUGAAAGCCCAAGGCUCAGCCUUGGAAGUGCGCUCGAAACGGCGAGGCUGGAGUGCCGGAGGGGAGAGUGGAAUUCCCGGUGUAGCGGUGAAAUGCGUAGAUAUCAUGAGGAAUACCAGAGGCGAAGGCGGCUACCUGGACAAUUGCUGACGCUCAGGCACGAAAGCGUGGGGAGCAAAGGGG
rnacentral:rRNA from 1 species